UAAGGAAUAUUGGUCAAUGGACGCAAGUCUGAACCAGCCAUGCCGCGUGAAGGAUGAAGGUCCUCUGGAUUGUAAACUUCUUUUAUGGGGGACGAAACCUCUUAGUCGUAAGAGACUGACGGUACCCCGGGAAUAAGCACCGGCUAACUCCGUGCCAGCAGCCGCGGUAAUACGGAGGGUGCAAGCGUUAUCCGGAUUCACUGGGUUUAAAGGUGCGUAGGAGGGCAGGUAAGUCAGUGGUGAAAUCCUAGGGCUUAACCCUAGAACUGCCGUUGAUACUAUCUGUCUUGAAUGCCGUGGAGGUGAGCGGAAUAUGUCAUGUAGCGGUGAAAUGCUUAGAUAUGACAUAGAACACCGAUUGCGAAGGCAGCUCGCUACACGAACAUUGACUCUGAGGCACGAAAGCGUGGGGAUCAAACAGGAUUAGAUACCCUGGUAGUCCACGCCCUAAACGAUGGAUACUCGACAUUGGCGAUACACGGCCAGUGUCUGAGCGAAAGC
rnacentral:rRNA from 1 species